AAAACAGCUGACAAAUAUCCCCCAGAAGAAUUUGCGAAGCCCAAAGAAGAAAAGAAGCCACAACUACAGACUGAAAGUAACCAGAAAGGAAAUGAAAGUGCUGAUUCCUGAUAGAGGGCAUCUUCUUCACAAGUUCUGCAUUUUGCGGGAGAGCCUUUCUCCUCAGAGACUAGCCAGGGCUGGGACGAAGGAAGAAGCAGAGGAGAAAACCAAGGGAAAAGAGCCUCCCACCAGAGAGCUCCCACGAUGUCCAGGCAUAGAAGGAAGGGAACACAAAGAAACGUCUUUUGGGAGGCUCCAAAUGCCAUUCCCUGUUUCUGAAGAUCAUAGAAGGGCAGGACAGGUACCGGAUAUAAAUUGAAUUAUUGUGUCAUUUUUAAUUGUAGAAAAUCACAUAGAGAUAUUGUAUGAAAAAUAUGUACCUGAAGAAUGUAUGGAUAUUGAUUCUGAAAAGAUCCCUUAUUCUUUACUCAUUUUGAUAUUAAA
rnacentral:lncRNA from 1 species